AGAGAAUUCAGAGCACAGUUCCUAGUUCCUGACCUCUGGUGUGCACCUGUGCGCACAUUCUCAGGAAGCUCCCAUGUUGCCAGGGAUCACAACAACAGUGGGACAAAACAUCGCAGUGGUCUAGAAUCAACUCAGCACAGCUAGAAGUGUCAACACGACUUGAGCAUUGAAGAUGUUGCGAUUGCUGUUUCUGUGUUUGAUUGUGACUCUGCAAGGAGCUGCUGGUACGUAUCACAUGUUCUCACCUUCCCACAAUGCUCUGGCAGCAGACACUGAGACACUGACAAAGAUCUAAUCACACAGAUCACCUUUUUAUUGUUUUUAUGCCUGUAUGUGUUCCAUACGAGAAAUAUACACCGUCUCUCUCUGAGUCCUAUAGCUUCCAGGGGUAGCAGAAUAUUAAGAGGAAAACUGCUUAGAAGAACCUAGGCUGAUACUUAAGAUAGCCUGCAAAGUUCUGUCAUACUUUCCAGGUCUAUGCCCAAACAGUUCCAGCUUCUAAUUUAAAAAAUGAAUCUCUCCAGAAAUAAGUCGCUCACUGUUGUCUCCUGUUAUAGACCCCUCUCAGCUCCCAGCUGUGCUCUGGACUCCAUAUGUGAAUUGAUUGCCCCCCAUCUAUCUUCAGAGUUCAUUCUGUUAGGUGACGGAAACUGGGAUAUGCUUAACAACCCGGCAGUCCUACAAUCUAAACUAGAUGCCCUCAAUCUCACACAAAUGAUCAAGGAACCCACCAGGUACAACCCUAAAUCUGUAAACAUGGGCACCCUCAUAGAUAUUAUCCUCACCAGGAUCUCAGUGAUCACUGCCUCAUUGCCUGCAUCCGCCAUGGGUCCGUGGUCAAACAACCACCACUCAUUACUGUCAAACGCUCCCUAAAAAAACCUCUGUGAGCAGGCCUUUCUAAUCGACCUGGCCUGGGUAUACGGGAAAGAUAUUGACCUCAUCCCAUCAGUCGUUCUUUAAAAGUAAUUUCCUCACCAUCCUAAAUAAACAUGCCCCUUCAAAACAAUGUAGAACUAAGAACAGAUAAAGCCCUUGGUUCACUCCAGACCUGACUGCCCUCGACCAGCACAAAAACAUCCUGUGGCGGACUGCACUAGCAUCGAAUAGUCACCGCGAUAUGCAACUUUUCAGGGAAGUCAGGAAUCAAAACACGCACUCAGGCCGGCAAGCGAAGGCUAGCUUAUUCAAACAGAAAUUUGCAUCCUGUAGCUCUAACUCCAAAAAGUUUUGGGACACUUUAAGGCCACGGAGAACAAGAGCACCUCCUCCCAGCUGCCCACUGCACUGAGUCUAGGUAGUACUGUCACCACCAAUAAAUCCACGAUAAUCGGGAAUUUAAAUAAGCAUUUCUCUACGGCUGGCCAUGCUUUCAUCCUGGCUACCCCAACCCCGGCCAACAGCUCCACACCCCCCGCAGCUACUUUCCCAAGCCUCCCCAGCUUCUCCUUCACCCAAAUCCAGAUAGCAGAUGUUCUGAAAGAGCUGCAAAACUUGGUCCCCUACAAAUCAGCUGGGAUAGACAAUCUGGACCCUCUCUUUCUAAAAUUAUCCGCCGCCAUUGUUGCAACCCCUAUUACCAGUCUGUUCAACCUCUCUUUCCUUUCAUCUGCGAUCCCUACAGAUUGGAAAGCAGCCGCGUCAUCCCCUUCUUCAAAGGGGGUGACAAUCUAGACCCAAACUGUUAUAGACCUAUAUCCAUCCUGCCCUGCCAUUCUAAAGUCUUCAAAAGCCAAGUUAAUAAACAGAUCAUUGACCCUUUCGAAUCCCACUGUACCUUCUCUGCUGUACAAUCCGGUUUCCGAGCUGGUUACGGGUACACCUCAACAAUGCUCAAGGUACUAAACGAUAUGAUAACCGCUAUCGAUAAAAGACAGUACUGUAGAGCCGUCUUCAUCGACCUGGCCAAGGCUGUCGACUCUGUCAAUCACCACAUUCUUAUUCUUAUCGGCAGACUCAACAGCCUUGGUUUCUCAAAUGACUGCCUCGCCUGGUUCAACAACUACUUCUCAGACAGAGUUCAGUGUGUCAAAUCGGAGGGCCUGUUGUCCGGACCUCUGGCAUUCUCUAUGGGGGUAUGACAGGGUUCAAUUCUUGGGCCGACUCUUUUCUCUGUAUAUAUCACUGAUGUCGCUCUUGCUGCGGGUGAUUCCCUGAUCCACCUCUAUGCAGACUACACCAUUCUGUAUACAUCUGGCCCUUCUUUGGGCACUGUGUUAACUCACCUCCAAGCGAGCUCCAAUGCCAUACAACACUCCUUCCGUGGCCUGCAACUGCUCUUAAACGCUAGUAAAAUUAAAUGCAUGCUUUUCAAACGUUCGCUGCUCGCACCUGCCCACCAGCCCAGUAUCACUACUCUGGGCAGUUCUGACUUAGAAUAUGUGGACAACUACAAAUACCUAGGUGUCUGGCUAGACUGCAAACUCGCCGUCCAGACUCAUAUUAAACAUCUCCAAUCCAAAAUCAAAUCUAGAAUCGGCUUCCUUUUUCGCAACAAAACCUCCUUUACUCACACCGCCAAACAUACCCUCGUAAAACUGACUAUCCUACAGAUCCUCGACUUCGGCGAUGCCAUUUACAAAAUAGCCUCCAACACUCUACUCAGCAAACUGGAUGUGGUCUAUCACAGUGCCAUCCGUUUUGUCACCAAAGCCCCUUAUACCACCCACCACUGCGACCUGUAUGCUCUAGUCGGCUGGCCCUCGCUACAUAUUCGUCGCCAGACCCACUGGCUCCAGGUCAUCUAUAAGUCUAUGCUAAGUAAAUCUCCGCCAUAACUCCACUCACUGGUCACGAUAACAACACUCACCCGUGGCACGCGCUCCAGCAGGUAUAUCUCACCGGUCAUCCCCAAAGCCAACACCUCUUUGGCUGCCUUUCCUUCCAGUUCUCUGCUGCCAAUGACUGGAACGAAUUGCAAAAAUCACUGAAGCUGGAGACUAUUCCCCUCACUAACUUUAACCAUCAGCUAUCUGAGCAGCUAACUGAUCGCUGCAGCUGUACAUAACCCAUCUGUAAAUAGCCCACCCAAUCUACCUACCUCAUCCCCAUAUUGUUUUUAUUUACUUUUCUGAUCUUUUUCACACCAAUAUUUCUAUUUACACAUCAUCAUCUACACAUCUAUCACUCCAGUGUUAAUUUGCUAAAUUGUAAUUACUUCGCCACUAUGGCCUAUUUAUUGCCUUGCGAGGGCGCCAUUUGCACACACUGUAUAUAGACUUUCUUUUUUUCUAUUGUGUUAUUGACUGUACGCUUGUUUAUUCCAUGUGUAACUCUGCGUUGUUGUUUCUGUCACACUGCUUUGCUUUAUCUUGGCCAGGUCACAGUUGUAAAUGAAAACUUGUUCUCAACUAGCCUACCUGGUUAAAUAAAGCUUCCUCAGAAGAGAGUGAAGGAUCAGCAGACGUAGCAGACGGAGACGAUGAAGAUCUAUUCAAGCAAAACGUGAUCCCAAAUCUCAGGAAUGAUUACGUGGUUAUCGAACCUGAAACAAAUGAUAUUGUGGACACAAACAAGGCAACAGGAGAAAAAGUAGGGGAAGAUGGAUUUACUACCAUUGUCAUCAUCGUAGCCGUGAGUGUGGUGGCACUGUCAAUCGCAGUGAUAGUAGCCAUAGUGCUGGUCCGGCGCCGCAUGCACAACCGACCACAAGGGAUCUACUCAGUGCCUACAGAACAGGGAAUGAAAGGAACGGUCUAACCACAAGAUGAGCUCCAGUCCAAUUGGACACCUGCAGGGGAGGAGCUCUACAACACACUGACCUUUGACUCAGGAAGGGAACACUUUCCACCCCAGCCUGCUCUUACUGAACCACUCCCUACUGCUCUCCUCUCUGGGACCAUCUGUUACUGUGUCAUGGGUCCCCUCCAAAGCCAGUGUAACUUAGUUUCCUAUAUUUGGUCUGUUGUUCAUUUUUGUGCCACAUAUCUCAAUGUAUGUGUGUAUAUUUAAAAGGGCAUUCUGCAGUUGCUAAAUCCAUUUCUGGAUGUACUCAUUGAUUCUUGAAUAAUAUAUAUGCCUCAGUUCAACUGUCGUGCCCCAUCAGAACCCAAAACAUAAGCUUGUUUUAUGCCAAUGUUAGCAAACAAAGUAUGUUUAAACAAAUGCUAUAUAGCCUCAAAACAUGGUUAAAACUAUGAUUUUGAUAUCACGGAUAGUCAGUCUUUGCAUCCAUAGCUCAUAGCCUAUGAAUUUGAGAAUGGUUAUAUUUCUCUGGCCCCAUCCCUCAGUUUUUUACCAAAAUAGGGAGAGAACGCUUUAUUGUUUCAACUACGGAUUAUCCCUUUAUGCUUGGGACACAUAGCAACAUUUGGAACCUAAGUUUUGUCAUUGGAUUCUAUUGAAAAACCCUGAAGCCAAUGAAUGUGACCAAAUGUGACAAACUCCUUUUGUCCAAUGGCAUAUUUUUCAAGAAAAACAAGUAUUGCUAAAAGUCAUUUGCAAUUGUUCCGACAGGUUUCUCCGCUCCUUCACUAAACUAAACUGUAUUCAGAGUUGAUUUGGUGCAUUCAGAACAGGCUUUUUUUGCAUGAGAAAAACAAGUUUAAUCCACCCUAAACCAACCCAGUCCUCUCUAAAUUUCCCCAUUCAACUCUGUGACAUAUCCUGUCCUUGGCCUCUUAGUGACAACAGAAAAUACAGUUGAAAGAUAAAACUCUCCCAUCUUCUCAACCUCUGAAGGGGAAAAAAGGAAAAAAAAUGGGUGGAAAAAGCCAGUCAGGUCUGUUUGAACAUUCACUUGAGGUGGAGAAUUAAUCAACUUUAGUGAAUGAUGUUUUCUUUUCAACUCCCCCCAUUCUCUUUUUCUUUUUGAAAUGCUUUUGUUCAAAACGUCAACCACAUCACCGAUUGUAAAUUGCUCUCGGAUGGCUGAGGAAAGUCUGAUUUGAAUGGUUUAUAGUGCUGGGACAGGGACGGGGAUGGGGACGGGGACCGGGGGAUAGAGAGGAUAAAAUAAAGUGUGGGGGUAGGUAGGGUGGGAUGUGAGUGGGGAAAUACCCACCAUGCCCAUGUUUCAUUCAUACUGAGUACAGGGCCGCUCCACGAUCGCUCCCUGGCUCUACUUUCAUUUAAAUGGAAAUCAAUCAUGCCCCGUGAACAAAAGCUUUAGGGCCGAGGUGCUGGCUGGCUUAUUUCUUACUCUGCAUUACAGAGAAAGGCAGGGGUCAGAGGAGAGGGGGAGGUGGACAUUAUGUGCUUCUGCAUGACAGGGCUAUUCAUUUGUUGCGUUAUCAUGAGGGAACAAGGGUUGUUGUGAGUGUGUGUGAAUUACACCCACGAUCAAGUAGUGUUGAAAUAACUGGGUCUGUCUAAACAGCAUGCGCACUGUCUUUCUCCACUCAACCUUACUGCUGUGAUGUCAUCAGCUGGGGAUGGGCUUGGCUCCAGGCUGUACAGAAACACCUGUGUAAUUAGCGCCUCCAUCUCAUUUUGUGUUAUCUGGUUCACUCAAUCAGAAUUGUCCCAAUCUGUUUAAGUUGAUGAAAUUCAAUUAGUAGCUGGUGCUGCUAAUAGUGAGAAACAGAUCCUAAAUGCAUACGGAGUGGUAUGUGUGUGUCUGCACUCUGCAGGUGUUUGUGGGGUUUGAUUGAAGCAUCACAACUAGCCCAGUAAGCCUUUCUUAGAUGUAGUCUAGCUCUGACAGCAUUUCAAAAGGAGAAUAAUUUGACAUACAUUUAAAAGAACUUUCACUUACCCUUUGUUUACUGACCACAGUCAUAUUCAAGAAAGCCUUUUUCCCUACUCAGAAAUAGCAUGAGAAAUACCCUUCACCUGCAAAGCAGAUGUUGUGGUUACGAGUCUGCGACUAGUCUCACUAUAAGAUGAGGUUUGCAUAGAACAGUUUUUCUUGUUCACGAUACAAAGAACAUCUAAGAACCGUUCAAGCAAGCAUGUUGAAUAAGCCAUGAACCAAAUAAAGUGCAGAAAUCCUAAAAGAAUUGGUUUGACCUGUGUAAUGCCCUGUUCAUUCAGCUACACUCGCACAUCUCCGUGGCAUUAUGCUCCUUCAAAGCCACAAAGCAUUGCUAUUGUGAAUGCAUCAAAACUGAUUGUCCUCCAUUUAUUUCUUCCAGGCCUUACGUUGAAAAGGGUAUGAAAUGUUCAAAUAUUGGAAAAAAAUAUUGGAUUUUCAAAAGAGCUCCAUGGGCUUUUUCAGCUGUGCAAAAGUUUCUCUAGGUCAUUUUUCAUCUAAUCUUUAUUUUUUUGUCAAGAGAAAGCACUAUCGAGUUCAGCCAAUCCUUGACACUGUCAGACAUGUCAGUAACUUAUUAUACAAAAGUCCUUACACCACCCCCUCUCCAAAAAAACUGUUGUGCCUUCUGUCUUUUGAUGAAAAUAGGAAAAUGUAUCAACCAGCAGAUUUUGUUUGAUGAGCUUGAUGCAUUUCAGGGAUGAUGCGUCCUCUGCACAGCAAUACGUUAUGCAAAUGUCUUCCAAAAAAUUAUUUUCUUUGACAAGUAGCUUGGUGUAUUAUUAUAUUGUUAUGAAAUGUCCUAUUGUAAACUCAAUAUUCAAAUGAUAAUUUAGUCUUUUAGUUAAGCACACGUCUUCAGCAGUACUCAUAAUCAAUGCUGAUAAACCCUGUACAUUCUGUUUGCUCAGGAUCAUUAACUAUUUGUAACGUACAGCAGCGAAGUGUUUUGACAAUGCUCUAUAUUUCAUCCAUUCCUAUGUCUAUGAAUCUGAGUCUGCUUUAGAAUAACGAGACCUGCACUAAAAGUGUAAUCUUGCUGUUCUACUUGUACUGUAGGUUUCCACAGCCCACACAUUCUCCAAUCAUUCAAUUUGGACUAGCAUUACUUAUGUUCUGUAUAUGGCUCUUCUAUAUCAUGGAUUAUGACUAUUUUUACAUUAAAUGUGUUCUGCUAUGCUUUGUCUCGGCGUGAAUGCUUCACGAUAUGCCAUAUGGACACAGAGCUGGUACACUAUAUGGCAUAAUCCAAAGUUUUGCUCAUUUAAAUUGUAAAUUGUACAAUGAAAAGCCACUAAGAAGCUUAAAAUAACUUUCUACUAAAACAUUUUGUCAGUCUGUUUUCUGAGUAAAGAACAUGCUGGAACUACUGACCAUCUGUUUUCUUUGUGAGUUAUACAAUACAGGAAAGGGAAGCGAACAGGUUUUAUUUUUACAUCCUGAUAACUUUAGGGGUAUUUUGAAGAUUAACAGAUAGUGGAAUGUUUUUCAGGGCCAUUUUAUUCAUGAGGCUUAUUGUAUGAGGCUCGGCCGUUUCUGAGGUAAUGAUUUUAAACGUUUUCAUAGAAACAGCUUGGCUAGAGUUGAGCAGGCUGUUCGAUAGAGGAGGUGGAAACCUGAAUUCAAACAUGACUCAUCUUGUCAUUAUCCAGCCAGACUCGCAAUUAAUUUUAAUUUCAAAGUUGAAUUCGGUAAUGGAAAUAACAUUUAACAAAGACUAACAGGAAAAUAAUGCCCCUAUUCUUCACUUGUCAGCGUGACUCAUUUGUCCAUGGUUUAUUCUGGAGUUUUUUACAUUUAUUUUUUAUUUUCUCUCCACCUCUCUGUUCUGUUAUAAGGACAAUCAUGUGGCCAGUGACACUUUAAUUCUUGAAAGUCCAAUAUCUUGAAAACUUGACUGUUGACAUGCAAAACAUUUUGGAUCUGUAUUAACAGUGCAUUAAUGAAAAAAAUACCCAAAUAUAGUUUGAGUCGAAUUUCCAUUUAAAGGUAGAACAGAGAAGCUUCUCAGACACCUAUGUCUGUAUUGUGCCUUUGGCAUGUAGUAUUGGCAAUUCCCUACCCGGAACCAGAGGGACUGUUCGGUUAGAUGAGGCUGUCAGAGGCAUGAUGGACCUCCAUAAUAUCUGUGGAAAUGAGACCAUGAACAGGACAUGUAUGUGAUUUAUUAGAGAAAAUGUCAUCCACGUUGGUGACAAAUCUACAGAUAAAAUCUACAUGAAAAUCUGUGAAAAGCUAGGCAUGGAAUUUGCUGUCUCUGUGAUAUGAGAAAAAA
ensembl:lncRNA